CAGCCAUGCAGUGAAUACAAAGCGAACUAUUUUUUCGCCUUUUACUAAAGAAUACCGUGUAUUUGCUGCUUUCAAGUGGCAUACGCCUAUUUUUGGAGAGACACUUCAACAACUGAAGGGC
rnacentral:snRNA from 1 species